rnacentral:rRNA from 1 species
AUUGAACGCUGGCGGCAUGCUUUACACAUGCAAGUCGAACGGUAACAGGCCGCAAGGUGCUGACGAGUGGCGAACGGGUGAGUAAUGCAUCGGAACGUGCCCAGUCGUGGGGGAUAACGCAGCGAAAGCUGUGCUAAUACCGCAUACGAUCUAUGGAUGAAAGCGGGGGACCGAAAGGCCUCGCGCGAUUGGAGCGGCCGAUGUCAGAUUAGGUAGUUGGUGGGGUAAAGGCCUACCAAGCCAACGAUCUGUAGCUGGUCUGAGAGGACGACCAGCCACAGGGGGACUGAGAAACGGCCCAGACUCCUAGGGGAGGCGGCAGGGGGGAAUUUGGGACAAGGGGGCAAGGCCGGACCCAGAAAUCCCGCGGGAAGAAAGAAGGCUUUGGGGUUGUAAACUGUUUUUGUAGGAAACAAAACGGUCGGAAUUAAAACCCGGGAUUAAGGACGGUACCGAAAGAAUAAGCACCGGCUAACUGCGUG